AACCCGGGAACUCCAGGCACACACCCAAGGGCAGCGUUGAGGGUGCAGAGCUGAGGCACGAACCUGUCACGAGGAAGACGGAGGGCACGCAGGGCACCAGACAGGUGAGCGGACAGAGCCGUGCGCAGACCUCGGCGCCAGCCACGAGCAGGCUGUGGCCGGGCUCAGAAGCACACAGAGCAAGGAAGCACCUCAGGUGCGAUUCACGGACUGCAGAGAUUCUGUGAACAGCAGAACCGGCACACCCACCGUGUUCCAGACCCGGGACAAACUUCCGAGAAUUCAAAGAUGAACAGCCUUGAGUUUCUUUCCUUAGGGGGCUGAGGACCUAGCAGUGGGGGCAGAGUCAGAGUGUUGCGCGGAGGCCCUAGCUGCUUUUGGAGCCCAGGACAGCUCCCAGUGGGAGGCAGUUGGUGCGUGCAGGGCAGACAUGACUCCUGGACUGGCUUCCUGUUUUCAGCCGGGUGUGGAAAUG